UACGGAGGGGGCUAGCGUUGUUCGGAAUUACUGGGCGUAAAGCGCGCGUAGGCGGACCUGCAAGUCGGGGGUGAAGCCCGAGGCUCAACCUCGGAACUGCCUUCGAUACUGCGGGUCUCGAGUCCGGGAGAGGUGAGUGGAAUUCCUAGUGUAGAGGUGAAAUUCGUAGAUAUUAGGAAGAACACCAGUGGCGAAGGCGGCUCACUGGCCCGGUACUGACGCUGAGGCGCGAAAGCGUGGGGA
rnacentral:rRNA from 1 species